rnacentral:rRNA from 1 species
ACGAAGGGUGCAAGCGUUACUCGGAAUUACUGGGCGUAAAGCGUGCGUAGGCGGUUUGUUAAGUCCGUUGCGAAAGCCCUGGGCUCAACCUGGGAAUUGCAGUGGAUACUGGCGAGCUAGAGUGCGGUAGAGGAUGGUGGAAUUCCAGGUGUAGCGGUGAAAUGCGUAGAUAUCAGGAGGAACACCGAUGGCGAAGGCAGGUCUCUGGGCAUUAACUGACGCUGAGGAGCGAAAGCAUGGGGAGCGAACAGGA